UGCGAACAAGAAAAUGUAUUA
rnacentral:piRNA from 1 species